GACGAACGCUGGCGGCGUGCCUAAUACAUGCAAGUCGAACGCAGUGGGGACGGGUGAGUAACACGUGGGUAACCUCCCAUCAGAGGGGAUAACACUUGGAAACAGGUGCUAAACCGAUACUGAUGGAUGAACCCGCGGGGCAUUAGCUAGUUGGUGAGGUAACGGCUCACCAAGGCCACGAUGCAUAGCCGACCUAAGAGAGGGGUCAGCCACACUGGAACGGAGACACGGCCAAGACUCCAACGCGAGGCAGAAGUAGGGAAUCUUCGGCAAUGGACGAAAGUCUGACCGAGCCACGCCGCGGGAGGGAAGAAAGUUUUCGGAUCGUAAAACUCUGUUGUAGGGGAAGCGCUAUCUAAACAGAAAGCCACGGCUAACUACGUGCCAGCCGCCGCGGUAAUAC
rnacentral:rRNA from 1 species